CGUAAAUGCAGUGAAAGAAUUGAUCAUACGUCUCUGAACAAAGAUGAAAUACCAAUUCGCCGGAGAUUCGGGUUCCUCAACUGUUUGAUGACAAAAUCUAAAACUCACGACCAGAACCCGACAAGGAAAAAGGGAAGAAAGCAGGAGAAGAAACCGAAGAAGAAACGUUCCCUUUGUCUCUGCUUCAAACCUCAAGCGCUCGGCGAUACAGAAGCGCCGAAAAACCAUGCAAAGAAGGUGAAGGGAAAAUCACAGAGCCGGAAGCUCUGAAACUCUGGAAAAUGGCAGCAAAUAAGAUGGAUCCCAAGAAUUCUUCCUUCUCUGUCACUCGAAAGGGGUUUUUAGAAAGAUUUGUCACUGUCUCGUGUUAGCGUUCUUUUAUAUAAAAAGAAGACUUGUAAGAAAAGGCACCGAUGUGCUCUUCCCGCCCAGAGAGAGUCUCAGCGUGCCAUAGGAAACGUUGGUGGUGAUAAAGAAAGUUUCUUUCGUGUAUACGAAUCGAUCGUCUUGUAAACCCUCUGAACCUUUUGGAGGUUUUCGUCUUCAUAUUAAUUCAGUGAAGGUAUCAUCGAGUCACUUUUCUUU